rnacentral:rRNA from 1 species
UACGGAGGGUGCAAGCGUUAUCCGGAUUUACUGGGUUUAAAGGGUGUGUAGGCGGGCUUUUAAGUCAGUUGUGAAAUCUCCGGGCUCAACCUGGAAACUGCCAUUGAUACUAUUAGUCUUGAAUUUUGUUGAGGUAGGCGGAAUAAGUCAUGUAGCGGUGAAAUGCAUAGAUAUGACUUAGAACACCAAUUGCGAAGGCAGCUUGCUAAACAAAUAUUGACGCUGAGGCACGAAAGCGUGGGGAUCAAACAGG